GAUGAACGCUGGCGGCGUGCCUAAUACAUGCAAGUCGAGCGAACAGACGAGGAGCUUGCUCCUCUGACGUUAGCGGCGGACGGGUGAGUAACACGUGGAUAACCUACCUAUAAGACUGGGAUAACUUCGGGAAACCGGAGCUAAUACCGGAUAAUAUAUUGAACCGCAUGGUUCAAUAGUGAAAGACGGUUUUGCUGUCACUUAUAGAUGGAUCCGCGCCGCAUUAGCUAGUUGGUAAGGUAACGGCUUACCAAGGCAACGAUGCGUAGCCGACCUGAGAGGGUGCUCGGCCACACUGGAACUGAGACACGGUCCAGACUCCUACGGGAGGCAGCCGUAGGGAAUCUUCCGCACUGGGCGCAAGCCUGACGCAGCACCGCCGCGUGAGUGAUGAAGGUCUUCGGAUCGUAAAACUCUGUUAUUAGGGAAGAACAACUGUGUAAGUAACUAUGCACGUCUUGACGGUACCUAAUCAGAAAGCCACGGCUAACUACGUG
rnacentral:rRNA from 1 species